GAUCAGUUCACAACUCCAAGAACAAGGUAUUAGUGUCCCAACUUUCCCACAUCCUCUCCAAUAUUCAUCAUUAUCUUUUCCUACCGUCUUACAUGCUGUCUCUUUUAAUAGGAUAUUAGCCCCUUGCUGGUGGAAACUUCUUUUUUGGGGGGAUGGAGGGAACCUUUCUUUGCAUCUCCAUUGCUUAGCAUUGUACCUGACACAUGGUAAGUACUUAAUAAAUGUUUGUUAAGUGACUGAUGUGAACACUGGAGGCAAUUUAUAGGUAACCUUACAACAGAGAAUAUUAUAACAUUGGAUAUUAGCCCUUGACGGGACCCAAUAUCAUCAAAUCCAUUUCUUUCACUUAACAGAAGAAGAAACUCAGGUCCAGAAUGGGAAAGGCAUUUACCCAAGGUAACACCCAAAUUAGUGGCAGAGCCAGGACUACAAACCAGCCUACUGAUUGGCUUUCAAAAAUAAGAUACCAAGGUCAAUUCUGUGCAGCCAUCCUCUACUGAACAACCACAACCAGAUUUAUAUGUGUCUCCCCGUGACAUUUUCAUCUGGCUCAGGCAGUCCUCAGGUGCAUGUGGCCCAAGUGAUCUGGACCAACCUCCUCAGGUUACAGAAGAGGAAACUGAGACUAAUGGAGGGGAACUCUCAAUGCACAGAGGAUUAGAGGCACGUUUGAACCCAGGCCUUCCGACUCCAAAAUUAAGGCUUAUUCCAUUGCAUGACAUAGAGGUAAAGGGAUUUGGAAUUUUUUUUUUCCUGCAGUAGAA